CUGCUGCCUCCCGUAGGAGUCUGGUCCGUGUCUCAGUACCAGUGUGGGGGACCUUCCUCUCAGAACCCCUACGCAUCGUCGCCUCGGUGGGCCGUUACCCCGCCGACUAGCUAAUGCGCCGCAUGCCCAUCCCCCGCCGGAAUCGCUUCCUUUGGCCGCAGACCCAUGCAGGUCCGCGGCGUUACGCGGUAUUAGUCGGGAUUUCUCCCGGUUAUCCCCCUGCGGGGGGCAGGUCGCAUACGUGUUACUCACCCCGUGCGCCCGGUCGCCGGCA
rnacentral:rRNA from 1 species